GGUGACGUGGAGCAAACCUCAGAAAGCCAAUCUCAGUUCGGAUUGUAGGCUGCAACUCGCCUACAUGAAGUUGGAAUCGCUAGUAAUCGCGAAUCAGAAUGUCGCGGUGAAUACGUUCCCGGGUCUUGUACACACCGCCCGUCACACCACGAGAGUUUACAACACCCGAAGUCAGUGGCCUAACCGUAAGGAGGGAGCUGCCUAAGGUGGGGUAGAUGAUUGGGGUGAAGUCGUAACAAGGUAUC
rnacentral:rRNA from 1 species